UAGGACUUCAUAUGUGAUCUCCUGGCCACCUUCACUGCACUAUCUGUGGUUCCUGCAGUUUCUUUUUAAAAGGGAACACCUCUGAGGAGUAUGCUGUGGGGGAUAAGCUCAGAGAGCAGUUGCUUGGCUCAGUUUAUGCGAGUAAAAUGCCAUGCAUUGUGAUGGAAGAGAUAUCAAAUCUUAACUUCUUAACAGAGUUAGCCCACCUUGAGAAUAAUGUCAGGGGAUGAGAUUAAAAGUGCCAUACUGAAACGUAAUUAUAGCUUAUAGUUUCUUUAAUGCUAAGACAGUUUUGUUUGAAAGCAGGUUGGGUUGCAGUGCAUGGACAUAGCAGACCCUAUGCUGCUGUCCUAAGGGUGAGCAGUAAUGGGAGUUCCAUUUGAGAGGGAGGUCCUAAAAUCAGUGGGCUUAUGGCACUUAGGAGAAUGGCACAAGACUGGUGCCACUGCUCCACUUUGUUAGCCCUGCAUUUGAUAGGCACAAGAGUCCUCAAAAUUUGUCCAGAAAAGUUUGCAUUUGGAAAGAGAGGCCUUGACUGGAAAAACUGAGAUGUCUGACAGAGAGUAUAUCAGCAAGCAGAAGGGAUGACUGCACAUGCAUGGGGGUGUGUGCAUAAAUUUUCCAUUUACAUAAGGAUGGUUGGCAAAGGCUCUCUGGGCUCUAGAAAGAGAAGGCCCAAAAGCUCGGAUGACAUUUGCUGCAGAGAAGAGAAAGGAGUUUGUGGGCAGGCCUCAAACACAUGCAGUGUAUUUAGCUUGUCAUCAUAAUUUCUGAUGCAUUUUGGUUGUGAGGGGAGAAAUCCUGGGGAGCGGAAGGCAGCUUGUUCUUGUGAUACCAGACAAAAGUGAAAGACAGCUAAUGUACUGUAGGUGGGUCAUCACCCCUAAAUAUGUCGUGGGUGCAAACUCCCUAAAUUUAAAAAUCUGAAAAAGUGAAACCAUCUGUUUGAUACGCAUUUUGUAGCAGCAAGGAUUACUCUCUGUGUGGUUGUGCCACUGUGCCGGGAGAGCUGACAAAAAGAAACUGGCAGCAAAUCUGUGGUGACCAGCCAGAGCAGCAGCCUGGGAUAAGACAUCAUCCAGCCCCGAAGACUCUGGGAAAACAGGAUGAACAAGCCCAGCACCCUUCUCUUCUAUCAUGGGUCACUCAAGUGCAAAAAGGAUUGCUUCCAACCACUUUCAACAAGAAAGUGAACCACCCUGAAGAAGCAGCCCAGACACCCAGCCAAUAUCCCACCAUCAAGAUCAAUGGAAAUGUGCUGCAGAGAAGUGGUAAUCCCCUGAAAAAAGUCCACUUAAACUCCCUGUAGAUCUCUUUGGUCUUUUACUUCUGUCCUUCUCAAACUCUCCUUUCUGGUGCUUAGCUCUGAAGAGACACACUGCUCUCUGGGCAGCAGGCUGCAUUACCGUCCUAAGAACACUCUGUCUCCAGGAGAUCCUCUCUCCAGUCUCCACUUGUGUGAGCUGUUGAGUGGUUAAGUGUGGAUUCAAGCCUCCUUGUCAUAGCUGGCUAGGCAGGCAUUUCACUGGCGACACGGGGUGCAUCCUGCUGGAGAGGUGAAGGCCCUUGAGUCCACUGGAGUGGGGGAACAUGCAGACCUCCGGGACUUCUCUUUUCCGCUGUGCUUGACUACGAAAUGUGCUGUGGCCUUAGUCACACACAGCUUUUUUCUGUGACACUGUAGGUAUAAUGUAAGACACAGCCUUUCCUGAACCACAGAAGGACUGUUAAGACUGUUUAUCUGCAGCUCUUCUCCAGGAUGAGCCAUGAAGUAUACCCUAGUUAGUGAAUAGGAGGAUUUAGCUGGUUUCAGUGCUUGAGAGUAACUAAUUUCUGCUGAAAUCACUGGGAACCCUCACUGCCACAUAGAUCAGGGCUCCAAAGGUCAUGGUUUUUCAUGCUAAGAUGCUAUAACAAAUUAUCCUGAUGUAUCUUAGCAGCCUAGAUACCAGACUGCUAAAGACUGCAUGCCAAAAAAUUCCAGGUAGUUGCUGAUACCAGUCUCAUGUCCAAAAGCUGCCAGACAAAUCAGUGAAAAAAACUGAGAAAGACAUUUUCAUGUAAAAAUCUUGCCUCUCUCAUCACUUUUUUAUGCAGGCCACAUUUUGUGUUGCUUGAUUGUCCAAGGAAGGAAAAGCACAGAACAUUCAGUGAGUAUAUCUAAUGUGAAAAAUGGGAUUUGGGGGUGCUUGAAUAAAAUCGAAUAGGGAGGCAGACAGGCUCUGCAGUGUGUUGUGGAUGUCAGAGGCAGUUGCUGCAGGUUUCUUGCACAUGCUGCAGAGAAGGUAAUGCAGGACUCCAAUGCAUUACAGAGGGACAAAGCUCUUCUGGCUCCUAGGCUCCGUCGUCAUUUCUGUGGCUUUUUUUUUCAUUUUGUAACCUCAGGAAAGAAACUUUCUUUGAGAAGGUCUUGAAAACUCAGAAACACGGAUCUUUCUAAACUUUCCAGUUAAAUAUUUACUGUCCCAGACAGAAAAUGCUUCAUUCAUCGUCUGAAUGCCCCCACCUGGAAAAGAGUUACAGAGCUUCAGAGAUCUUUCAGCAAACAAAUUCCUUCUCAUUACUGGCUCUGUGGGCAUGACUGCUCUCAGAAAACUUGAAAGUCAAGCUGCUCCGGAGUGCUGCCCAUACAUGUUUACCUUGUACUCCAGCUUCCCUCUUCAGACUAAAUCAGGUACUUUUUGUCUGGUUUGCCUAAACAAGUACAGCCGAGGAACAAAUGCUGGAGGAUUCCUGGGGGUUCAGCCAGGCUAGCCCUGGGUUUCUGACAUUCAUUUCUCUAUGAUUCCUGUAAACUCCAGGUUAACCAGCAAUACCUGCAUGUUCCUCGGCACCACACAGAGAUAUCAGAAAUGCUUGUAAAUGUAUAUUUUUUAUGUGUGCUUGACCUUACUCCUACACCUUGCUUCAGGCUUGUUCUCUCACAUGAAGUACAGCUGACAUCUGCAAAAAACUACUUUUUAACCCAAGGUCAAACCGUGGGCUGCCCUGCCUAGGGAAGCAGGCAUUUUAGGUCUUGAACUUGAGCUGCCUGUCUCUGAGAGGCCAUGGGACUAAGCUGGAAGUUGCAAAGGUGGCCAUGGAGGGCAAGCCAUUUCUGCUGCAGCCUGGACUGGUCCUGUCAGGACCAGCUUCACAGGAAGGAGCACAACCCCACAGUGUUCCACAGAAGUCUGGUCACCAUACCCCAAGCAUAACAGGCUGAAAGAUGCUGCAUUCAGCAGGAAUAAAUAACUUUGCAUUUUGCUGGGUGGAGGACAUGACUGCAGUGUGAUGAGAAUAUUUAAAAUAUUGAAUGAACCUGAAAUCAGUGCAAUAGGCUGAAACCACCCACACCACAACUAGUGAACUUGUGAGCUGUGAGUGUGCUGCGUGUUAACAGUUUCAGAGAAAUCUCAAAAAGUGAAAUUAAAUUGUUUUUCUCUCUCAGUAAUUCAAUGUAUUCCAUUCCUCAGAUAUUUAGUUGUAUUGACGUAUUUCAGAACAUCACAGAGAAAGCCUGUGUAUACUUUUUCUCAGAUGAUAAUGUGAAUUCAUACCUGAUGUAAUUACUGUGCUGUUGGCUGGCUGGAGUAGUUCUUGGGAAAGAUCUGGCCUACAGAUUUUGCAGCAUUGCUCAACAGUUAAUAUCUGCAGCUUGUACCUGUACUGGUAAGCAAGUGGCAAUAUUGCAAGCAAAUAGUCAUUUGCCUAAGCCAGACAGGUUUCUGUGCAGCUGAUCAGUGCUUGGAGCCACAGCAUCAUGACUUCCAUGGUCAAUGCCUAUUGAAGAAAUGCAUGCAAGAGCAUUUUGUCUGUAAAAAGAAAAUAAAGGAUGGGGUUGGGCGGCUGGGGAUGGAGACAGAUUAAGCCAAAGUAAAAAAGGAGAGAGUGGGACACAUAACAGAGAAGUAACAUGCUUUAUUUACACAUUUGUUCAGUACUGACAGGGAGGGGGGGGUCAGACAAAGGUGCUGCCAAACUGCCAGGAUGAAAUCCUGCCUAAGUAUCAUUCUCUAACCUGUACAGAGUCCAGAUGUCCAUCACUAGUGCCCACCCACACUUCUGCUGCUUAAUGCCUUGCAUGGCAAACAGCACCUCCUUCCCAUGUGGGCUCCUGCUGUUCCCUCUUCCACAUGAGAGAGCACACGAGCAAUCAUUGAGGGACCAGUUCUAGUCUGUAUGAACACACCAGUGCAUACAGCCACAGAAGCAUUAGAGCAUCAUCAGAAAAACCUUUGUGUUCUCAGGGUGGCCACAAUUCCUGUGUACACAUCAGGGGUGGAAGCAGACAUCAUUUGUUGGCAGACUGAAGAGAGAUCAGUGCAAGGCCAUGGAGAUGGUGGGUGGGUCUGGUGCACCUGAUGGAGAGAGGAGGGAUGGAAGGAAUCAGGCUUUGUUGGCAUGGAGAAGGGAUGUCUCAGGGAAGCCCCAGUUGCAGGUGUCCACUGACUUACAGACAGUUACCAACCUUCUCUCAGGAGUUCACAGGGAUGUCUUGUUUUAAAAAGUCUUGUUUUGACCCUUGUCAUAAAGGACAAAGAGAGACACACUACAGCAUGGGAAAUUCUGUUUGCACAUUAGGAGUGAAACAACAGUGGUGCAGCCCUGGGACAGGGCCAAAAGAGGUGGUGGGAUGUCCACUUCUGGACAUGUUCAAAAUUUAGCUGGUCAAGGUGCUGACCAAGCUGACUUUGUUUUGAAGGCAGUUGACCUUGGAAAGGGAAAUGAGAAUAAAGACCUUCAGAUGUGCCUCCCCACCUGAAUGUUUCCAAGAUUCUAUGUGCACAGCCUGCAGCUCCCAGCCAUGUGUUAAUCAUGCCUUAAAAAAUAAUUUCUGAGUAAUCCUGAGGAUUAUUUACUUGACCCUGGGGCUCACUUAUGUGAGCACCAAGUGUAGGACUUGCUCUUAAUUGAAGAGCUAAAUAUACAUCAGCAGCCCAAUGGGAUUACUCAGUCUGCAGCAGUGUCUGUCAAAUUGGCAUGUGUGCUUUCCAUUCAUUCCUUUCAGAUGCUGCUCUGAUACAGCAUUUUCUGCAACAUUGUGUAGCUACAUAGAAGAAUUUUCCAUGUGUUCCUAGUAGAAAGGAAGGUCAGGUUUACUUUUACUGUGUUUCAGGUUUGUUUCAUGUCAGGUUAGAGAAGUGCUACAAAUCAAGUUUUAUAUCAUUGACUCCCUGUUGAUCUCUAUUAUCAAAAUGUUUGUAUGCACAGACGGGAAUCCCUAGUUCACCUUCAUUGGUGCUUAGUGAUUCCUUGGGACUGGGUCUUCUCAGCACACCUGCAACCAGUUUAUCUGCCUUCGCUUUUAUGGACCAGAAAAGCCACUUUAAUUUUAAGCAAGCUAGUUUUCUCAUUCUUAUGCAUUCACAGAUUUUCCCUUACCCACUUUCACACAGGUGUUCACAGGCACGCAGAGCUCUAGGCCCAGGCAAUCUGUUCAGGAUCACUUGGGAUGGCACAGUGGAUGAGGGACACGAGGUAUAAAGUUUUUCAUUGAGUCUCCUGCAGCCCCUAUUGGAGGUACCUCUUGGUCAACUGAAGGCAAGUCUCCCCUCUGAAGGCUGUCAGCUGUCGUAACCUUCUCCAACAACCUGGCUGUCACAAUGGAAUGAAGCAGAAAGAUCAUCUUUCCUGCACAUAAAUUGAAGAGGCACCUAAGAGGCACCUAUGCUGGUGUAAAACCUGUGCUGUAAACAAAAUCCUGGACUCUGGUACAGCAUCUGUUGUUUUAACACAGGGCUGACUACACUGCUGCUCCUGCUGCUCCUCACGCAGCCUCAAGCUGUAUUCCUCUGAGGAAGACCAGCUGAAAGCUGGGAGCAGACUCCAGUGUGCUACUGCGCCUAUUAAGAAUCAGUCAAAUUUAACUGCAAAUAAAACCAGUGGGGAACAGAAAAAUGUAGGUGCAGCUAUUGGUUCCCCACAACCUUUCCUAAACAGGUCUAAAACUAUCUGUAAGGUGAGCCCUGCCCCAUCUUUCUGAAACCAGUCACUAAAUGUGCUUAUCAAAAGUACUUGCAUUCCAUUCUGUAAAUAAAUGCCAGUUAGCAAAUGCAAAAACAUAGAGUGAAACAAUGUAAAUAUCAAAUAAUACAAAGUCUUUAAGAAAUGUUUCUAAACACAGGGAGAAUGGUGGUGUCAGGCACAUUGUACUUGCACAGAGGACUUCUAAAAAAUAGUAUUAGUUCAUGCAUGAGUGUAAGACAGAAUAUAUGAAUUGGGCAAGAAAUAUAGCCCUAUGCAGCCAGAGGUUGGUAGAGACCUCUCAAAGUUCAUACAGCAAACAACAAGAGCUCUGAGCCAGUGUCCUGUCACUGUAUGGGAGCAUACUCCAGUGUUCCUGUGUGCCCUAGCCAGCUUUCAGCAGCAGCAGGCACACACUGUGAACAUGUGCCAUCACUUCCCAGACCCAGAACUAAAAGACAACGCCAGCACAUGCCUUAAAGACUGCCCAGCACAAAGCAUACCCAGACCCUGCAGAGACGGGCUGGGCCCCUCUGCUCAGCACAUCUGGAAUUUCAAAGAAAAGCUUUGGGUUCCCCAAGAAAUGAUAAAUUAUUUAUUGAUAAACUAAGGAGCUCAAACACAGGAUUACACAGAUGUCCCAGGGAUGGGAGUGCAGGACAUUUUGGGAAGAAGUGGACGAAACUGAUGUUCAGCCUGAGGAAAAGACUACAGUGGGCUACAAUUUUUAGUCAGCCAUUGCUUACUUGAGCAAGGGGCACCUCUUCUCUGAGGUGCAUGAGGAGAUGGUGACACAACAGGCAUGAGCUGCAACAGAGGAAAUUCUAGCUGGAUAUAAGCAAAACAUUCUUUGCAUCAUUGAUGCAGACAAGGCCCAGAUAUGAGGUGAUGGGACCUCUGUCCUGGGAGAUACUCUAGAGUUGACAAGGCAGCCUGACCUCACUUGAGUGAGUAAUGCUUUGAUCAGAGGGUGGGACAGGGGACCUCAUUAUGAUCCUCUUCUAAUCUAAAUUUUUCCACUCUUUUUACGACCCUCAGGUGUGGAUUUUACAGUUGUUUGAUUUGGGAACAAAGCAUUUCUGAGCUUCACAGCCUUUGGAGUAAUGGAAAGAGGGCCUAUUUUGCAUGUCUGAACAUGGCAGGGGUCUGAGCAUCCUCUAACCCAGACACUACCACUGUCUGCUGUGAGGCUUUUAGAGACAGAACUUAAUGAAAUUUUGGACAUGAGAUACAAGUUUAAAAGACCCCAGCCCACUUUUUCCACUGAUAGCACUAAAAAAAACUAAGUUGUUUGCUCUCUGCUUUUCUUUGGCUAGCUCCAGUCCCUACUUUCUGUGGUGGCCCUUUGUAUGUUGGUCCGCCAGCACACCCAGAAGGGCCUGUCCUGAUCCUCUCUGGCAGCAGGCUCGGCCGAGACGGGGAUGCAGACCCUGGUGCUGCCUCCUACACCAGUGUCCCCUGCCCCAGAUGUUCAGGAGUAGGGCAGGAUGGAGGUGCACCACAGUGGGGUGGGACAGUGCAAUUCUCCCCUGCACCCUCUACGCUCCCCUCCCUGUGAGUGGGCAGCUAAAGAGGCUCCCCAAGAAAUGGGAGAUAUUGAUAAACUGAGGAGCUUUGGAGCCACUGGGCUGCCCAGGGAGUAACAGUGUCCUGGAGAGGAAAGUUGCAGAGACCUUAUCUCUGCUUUAUCUCUUGGUCCACACCUCCACACAGGCCUUACCCUUUCCAUUCCCUCAACCCCAUCCACACAUUUCAGUGUCCUAUUGUAGCUGAGGCACCUGCCUGUGCUCUUUUCAAGAAGAAGCCACUCAUAUUUUGGUUUGUUACAUAUGUUAACCCACUUAACAGCGCUGCUGAAAGGGGACUAAAAAUGAAAGGUUGGAAGGGAAAUAUCUCUUCCACUCGUUUGUAACCAAAUUUUUUCAACUAAAACA